GGAUUAAGAGCUUGCUCUUAUGAAGUUAGCGGCGGACGGGUGAGUAACACGUGGGUAACCUGCCCAUAAGACUGGGAUAACUCCGGGAAACCGGGGCUAAUACCGGAUAACAUUUUGAACCGCAUGGUUCGAAAUUGAAAGGCGGCUUCGGCUGUCACUUAUGGAUGGACCCGCGUCGCAUUAGCUAGUUGGUGAGGUAACGGCUCACCAAGGCAACGAUGCGUAGCCGACCUGAGAGGGUGAUCGGCCACACUGGGACUGAGACACGGCCCAGACUCCUACGGGAGGCAGCAGUAGGGAAUCUUCCGCAAUGGACGAAAGUCUGACGGAGCAACGCCGCGUGAGUGAUGAAGGCUUUCGGGUCGUAAAACUCUGUUGUUAGGGAAGAACAAGUGCUAGUUGAAUAAGCUGGCACCUUGACGGUACCUAACCAGAAAGCCACGGCUAACUACGUGCCAGCAGCCGCGGUAAUACGUAGGUGGCAAGCGUUAUCCGGAAUUAUUGGGCGUAAAGCGCGCGCAGGUGGUUUCUUAAGUCUGAUGUGAAAGCCCACGGCUCAACCGUGGAGGGUCAUUGGAAACUGGGAGACUUGAGUGCAGAAGAGGAAAGUGGAAUUCCAUGUGUAGCGGUGAAAUGCGUAGAGAUAUGGGAGGAACACCAGUGGCGAAGGCGACUUUUCUGGUCUGUAACUGACACUGAGGCGCGAAAGCGUGGGGGAGCAAACA
rnacentral:rRNA from 1 species